CUUCGAUUAAGGUUCGACUCGAGCGAAGCGAGAGAACGUUGCCAACGGCAACGGCCCGUAGGGUGAGGAGCGAAGCGACGAAUAAUCCUUCCCCCACCACCA
rnacentral:sRNA from 2 species